UGUGGGAGAGGUUGCAGGAUACCUCAUUCCACCAGGGCUCUGCCUCAGUGCCAAUUUUGCUUAAGGAGGAGGAAUUCCUUGAGCUGAAAUAGAUUUCACUGAAGAGAAUGUUACUGCCCAGACAGGGCCAGCUCUACCCACCCUGAGUUCUGUAAGGACUGAGCUACUGGGUUCAGCUGUUGGAAUUUUAAGAGAUUCACGUGCUGAUGAGAACUCAGCAGGACCUAUGGGAACGUGUCUCUUGCUUUCUGGUCCCUGGUAUGGGCAGCAGCUGGGAAUCUUCUGUUUUCCUGUAAAAUGGAUCCAGAGGGCUUCAGGGUGGAAAUGGAGCAUGGAAACCUGGGAAUCUGGGAGACCCUGGCUCCCGACUGUAAGUUCAUGAAAAGCAUCGCUGUCAGUGACAGACCUGUGUCUGCUCACCCCCCACUCCUCCUCGGGAUCUCGGUGUAACACUUCCCGCACUCCAGGAACAGCCUGUGUUGUGCUCCUCGCUGGAAGCAGCCCCGCCAGUCCUUUCCAGCUCUCCCGGUGCCUGGCUGAGGGGGUGUGCUGUGCCGGUGGGAGGGUCCU